rnacentral:rRNA from 1 species
UGGUCUUUAGAGGAAGUAAAAGUCGUAACAGGUUUCCGUAGGUGAACCUGCGGAAGGAUCAUUAUUGAAAUUAACCUGAUGGGUUGUUGCUGGCUCUCUAGGGAGCAUGUGCACGCCUUGUCAUCUUUAUAUCUCCACCUGUGCACCUUUUGUAGACCUUUCGGGGUCUAUGUUGCUUCAUUUUUCCACAAUGUAUGUUAAUAGAAUGUUGUGCCCUGUAUAAUAUAUACAACUUUCAGCAACGGAUCUCUUGGCUCUCGCAUCGAUGAAGAACGCAGCGAAAUGCGAUAAGUAAUGUGAAUUGCAGAAUUCAGUGAAUCAUCGAAUCUUUGAACGCACCUUGCGCUCCUUGGUAUUCCGAGGAGCAUGCCUGUUUGAGUGUCAUUAAUAUACAUAUAUCAAGCCUUCUCUUGUAGAAGGGUUUGGAUGUGGGGGUUUGCUGGCCUCUUAAUCUUAAGAGUUCAGCUCUCCUGAAAUGCAUUAGCAGAACAACCUUAUGUUCAUUGGUGUGAUAACUAUCUACGCUAUUGAAUGUUGAGGGGCAAGUUCAGCUUUCUAACGGUCCUUGGACAAACUCAUCAUUAAUGUGACCUCAAAUCAGGUAGGACUACCCGCUGAACUUAAGCAUAUCAAUAAGCGGAGGAAAAGAAACUAACAAGGAUUCCCCUAGUAACUGCGAGUGAAGCGGGAAAAGCUCAAAUUUAAAAUCUGGCGGUUUUUUUGGCCGUCCGAGUUGUAAUCUAGAGAAGUGUUAUCCGCGCUGGACCGUGUACAAGUCUCCUGGAAUGGAGCAUCAUAGAGGGUGAGAAUCCCGUCUUUGACAUGGACUGCCAGGGCUUUGUGAUGCGCUCUCAAAGAGUCGAGUUGUUUGGGAAUGCAGCUCAAAAUGGGUGGUAAAUUCCAUCUAAAGCUAAAAUUGGCGAGAGACCGAUAGCGAACAAGUACCGUAAGGGAAAGAUGAAAAGAACC